rnacentral:rRNA from 1 species
CCUACGGGGUGCAGCAGUGAGGAAUAUUGGUCAAUGGGCGGGAGCCUGAACCAGCCAAGUCGCGUGAGGGAAGACGGUCCUAUGGAUUGUAAACCUCUUUAGGCGGGGAGCAAUGCCGGGCACGCGUGCCUGGAGGGAGAGUACCCGCAGAAUAAGCAUCGGCUAACUCCGUGCCAGCAGCCGCGGUAAUACGGAGGAUGCGAGCGUUAUCCGGAUUUAUUGGGUUUAAAGGGUGCGUAGGCGGAUUUUUAAGUCAGCGGUAAAAUGUCCGGGCUCAACCCGGGCCGGCCAUUGAAACUGGGGGUCUUGAGUGGGCGAGAGGUAUGCGGAAUGCGUGGUGGAGCGGUGAAAUGCGUAGAUAUCACGCAGAACUCCGAUUGCGAAGGCAGCAUACCGGCGCCCGACUGACGCUGAGGCACGAAAGCGUGGGGAUCGAACAGGAUCAGAUACCCUAGUAGUC